UUGCAAUAGUUAGCGUUUGUUUUAUUUGGUAGUGUUGAGUUGAAAGCUAUCAUAAGACACACGCGGCUAUUGCAG
rnacentral:pre_miRNA from 1 species